GGGCUGUUAGCUCAGCUGGCUAGAGCAUCUGACUCUUAAUCAGAGGGUCGAGGGUUCGAACCCCUCACAGCCCA
rnacentral:tRNA from 1 species